rnacentral:rRNA from 1 species
ACGAACGCUGGCGGCGUGCCUAACACAUGCAAGUCGAACGGGGAUUUGUUUCGGCAGAAUCCUAGUGGCGAACGGGUGAGUAACGCGUAGGCAACCUGCCCUCCGGCCGGGGACAACACUCCGAAAGGGGUGCUAAUACCGGAUACGAAGUCUGUGCCGCAUGGUACGGAUUUGAAAGAUGGCCUCUAUUUAUAAGCUAUCGCCGGGGGAUGGGCCUGCGUCCGAUUAGCUGGUUGGUGGGGUAACGGCCUACCAAGGCGACGAUCGGUAGCCGGUCUGAGAGGAUGAACGGCCACAUUGGGACUGAGACACGGCCCAGACUCCUACGGGAGGCAGCAGUGGGGAAUCUUCCGCAAUGGGCGCAAGCCUGACGGAGCAACGCCGCCGUGAGUGAGGAAGUUCUUCGGAACGUAAAGCUCUGUUGUUCCUGACGAACCUCCCUUCUAUGAACAACGGAAGGGACUGACGGUAGGGAACGAGGAAGCCACGGCUAACUACGUGCCAGCCGCCGC